rnacentral:rRNA from 1 species
CUCGCAGGUGGUUCGUUGCGUCGUGCGUGAAAGACCCCGGCUCAACUGGGGAGGGUCGUGCGAUACGGGCGAACUGGAGGCCAGUAGGGGGAUGCGGAAUUCCGGGUGUAGUGGUGGAAUGCGUAGAGAUCCGGAGGAACACCAGCGGCGAAGGCGGCAUCCUGGACUGGUCCUGACACUCAGGAGCGAAAGCGUGGGGAGCGAUCCGGAUUAGAUACCCGGGUAGUCCACGCUGUAAACGAUGAGUACUAGGUGUCGGGGGUAUCGACCCCCUCGGUGCCGCAGCUAACGCGAUAAGUACUCCGCCUGGGGACUACGGCCGCAAGGCUAAA